rnacentral:misc_RNA from 1 species
AACGGUCUAUACCUGCGGUACCUGCGGAGGGAUCAUUACAGAGUUGCAAAACUCCCAAACCAUUGUGAACGUUACCUUCUCGUUGCUUCGGCGGGCGGCCCGGGUCCUUCCCGGCGCCCCCCGGCCCCUCGCGGGCGCCCGCCGGAGGUAAACCAAACUCUUGAAUUGUAUGGCCUCUCUGAGUCUUCUGUACUGAAUAAGUCAAAACUUUUAACAAUGGAUCUCUAGAUCGGAAGAGCA